rnacentral:rRNA from 1 species
GAUGAACGCUGGCGGCGUGCCUAAUACAUGCAAGUCGAGCGAACGGACGAGAAGCUUGCUUCUCUGAUGUUAGCGGCGGACGGGUGAGUAACACGUGGAUAACCUACCUAUAAGACUGGGAUAACUUCGGGAAACCGUAGCUAAUACCGGAUAAUAUUUUGAACCGCAUGGUUCAAAAGUGAAAGACGGUCUUGCUGUCACUUAUAGAUGGAUCCGCGCUGCAUUAGCCAGUUGGUAAGGUAACGGCUUACCAAGGCAACGAUGCAUAGCCGACCUGAGAGGGUGAUCGGCCACACUGGAACUGAGACACGGUCCAGACUCCUACGGGAGGCAGCAGUAGGGAAUCUUCCGCAAUGGGCGAAAGCCUGGCGGAGCAACGCCGCGUGAGUGAUGAAGGUCUUCGGAUCGUAAAACUCUGUUAUUAGGGAAGAACAUAUGUGUAAGUAACUGUGCACAUCUUGACGGUACCUAAUCAGAAAGCCACGGCUAACUACGUG